UACGUAGGGUGCAAGCGUUAAUCGGAAUUACUGGGCGUAAAGCGUGCGCAGGCGGUUCUAUAAGACAGAUGUGAAAUCCCCGGGCUCAACCUGGGAACUGCAUUCGUGACUGUAGAGCUGGAGUGCGGCAGAGGGGGAUGGAAUUCCGCGUGUAGCAGUGAAAUGCGUAGAUAUGCGGAGGAACACCGAUGGCGAAGGCAAUCCCCUGGGCCUGCACUGACGCUCAUGCACGAAAGCGUGGGGAGCAAACAGG
rnacentral:rRNA from 1 species